GACGGAAGUGCACCUGCACGCCGCGGAGAUCACGCUCUGCGCCAACAGCUGCGGCUUCCCGGGCAACCCGGCCACCAAGAACCUCUGCCAGAACUGCUUCCUGGCGUCUUCCUCCUCGCCGCCGUCCCCUUCCUCGUCGCCCCCGGCGUUCCCGCUCUUCGACAAGCCGAGGCCGGCCGCCGCCGCGUCGCCCGCGCUGCAGGCGCCGCCCGUCUACAUGGCCGUCGACCGGCCGGCGGACCCCAAGGCGUCCAAGUCCUCGGUGAACCGCUGCCACAACUGCCGGAAGCGCGUGGGCCUGACGGGGUUCCGCUGCCGGUGCGGCGAGAUGUUCUGCGGCGCGCACCGGUACUCGGACCGGCACGACUGCAGCUACGACUACAAGUCGGCGGCCAGGGACGCCAUCGCCCGGGAGAACCCCGUCGUGCGCGCCGCCAAGAUCGUUAGGUUCUGAUCGUCGGCAGGAUGCUAUCCGGCGAAAUCUCAAGCACAACCCACUCUUUUUCUUUCUUCCCUUUGAUGAAAAAUUAAAGCCGUUCCCGAGAGUUUCUUAAAAGGUGAAAAA
rnacentral:lncRNA from 1 species